UCGCCAGACUCCUACGGGAGGCAGCAGUGGGGAAUAUUGCGCAAUGGGCGAAAGCCUGACGCAGCGACGCCGCGUGAGGGAUGAAGGUCUUCGGAUCGUAAACCUCUGUCAGCAGGGAGGAACGGUCACUGUGCUAAUCAGCAGUGAAUUGACGGUACCUGCAAAGGAAGCACCGGCUAACUACGUGCCAGCAGCCGCGGUAAUACGUAGGGGGCAAGCGUUAUCCGGAUUUACUGGGUGUAAAGGGAGCGUAGACGGUUAUGUAAGUCUGGAGUGAAAGCCCGGGGCCCAACCCCGGGACUGCUUUGGAAACUGUGUAACUAGAGUACAGGAGGGGCAGGCGGAAUUCCUGGUGUAGCGGUGAAAUGCGUAGAUAUCAGGAGGAACACCGGCGGCGAAGGCGGCCUGCUGGACUGAAACUGACGUUGAGGCUCGAAAGCGUGGGGAGCAAACAGGAUUAGAUACCCCCGUAC
rnacentral:rRNA from 1 species